rnacentral:rRNA from 1 species
UACGUAGGGGGCAAGCGUUAAUCGGAAUUACUGGGCGUAAAGCGUGCGCAGGCGGUUUUGCAAGGCAGAUGUGAAAUCCCCGGGCUCAACCUGGGAACUGCAUUUGUGACUGCAUGGCUAGAGUACGGUAGAGGGGGAUGGAAUUCCGCGUGUAGCAGUGAAAUGCGUAGAUAUGCGGAGGAACACCGAUGGCGAAGGCAAUCCCCUGGACCUGUACUGACGCUCAUGCACGAAAGCGUGGGGAGCAAACAGG